CAGUCUUAACGAUGGAUGUCUUGGUUCCUACAGCGAUGAAGGCCGUAGCAAAAUACGAUAAGCAAUGAAAAUUGCAAUACUGUGAAUCAUCCGAAUGCUGAAUGUAAACUACUCCCAGCCCUUUUUAAGGGUUA
rfam:Plasmodium chabaudi chabaudi, WGS project CAAJ01000000 data, contig: PC_RP0886